rnacentral:tRNA from 1 species
CUAAGGAAAAGGAAACCUGUACGUUGGUCUUGUUUAGUUUUGAAAGGUCUUGUGGGGCCUUAGCUCAGCUGGGAGAGCGCCUGCUUUGCACGCAGGAGGUCAGCGGUUCGAUCCCGCUAGGCUCCAUUAACACUGUAAGGGUGUUAAGAUUGAACAUUGAAAAUUGAAUAUCUAUAUCAAAUAGUAACAAGAAAAUAAACCGAAACGCUGUAAAUAUUUAAAGAGUUUAGGUCGCAAGACCAAAAAUAAGGUUAAGUUAAUAA